GGUACAUUUCUAGCUUGCUAGAAAUGACGAGCGGCGGACGGGUGAGUAACGCGUAGGAAUCUGCCUAGUAGAGGGGGACAACAUGUGGAAACGCAUGCUAAUACCGCAUACGCCCUUAGGGGGAAAGGAGGGGAUCUUAGGACCUUCCGCUAUUAGAUGAGCCUGCGUAAGAUUAGCUAGUUGGUGGGGUAAAGGCCUACCAAGGCGACGAUCUUUAACUGGUCUGACAGGAUGACCAGUCACACUGGGACUGAAACACGGCCCAGACUCCUACGGGAGGCAGCAGUGGGGAAUAUUGGACAAUGGGCGAAAGCCUGAUCCAGCCAUGCCGCGAGGGUGAAGAAGGCCUUAGGGUUGUAAAGCACUUUCAGUGGGGAGGAAGGGUGCGUUGUUAAUACCAACGUACUUUGACGUUACCCACAGAAGAAGCACCGGCUAACUCUGUGCCAGCAGCCGCGGAAAUACAGAGGGUGCAAGCGUUAAUCGGAAUUACUGGGCGUAAAGCGCGCGUAGGUGGUUUGUUAAGUCGGAUGUGAAAUCCCAGGGCUCAACCUUGGAAUGGCACCCGAUACUGGC
rnacentral:rRNA from 1 species